GUAAACGAUGGAUACUCGCGGUGCGCCUUUAUGGUGCGUCGCUUAGCGAAAGCGUUAAGUAUCCCACCUGGGGAGUACGCCGGCAACGGUGAAACUCAAAGGAAUUGACGGGGGCCCGCACAAGCGGAGGAACAUGUGGUUUAAUUCGAUGAUACGCGAGGAACCUUACCCGGGCUUGAAUUGCGACUGACUGCAUCAGAGAUGAUGUUUCCAGCAAUGGCAGUCGUGAAGGUGCUGCAUGGUUGUCGUCAGCUCGUGCCGUGAGGUGUCGGCUUAAGUGCCAUAACGAGCGCAACCCUUUUCCCUGUUUGCCAUCGGGUAAUGCCGGGCACUCCAGGGAUACUGCCAUCGUAAGAUGUGAGGAAGGUGGGGAUGACGUCAAAUCAGCACGGCCCUUACGUCCGGGGCUACACACGUGUUACAAUGGGCGGCACAGAGGGCAGCGACCGCGCGAGCGGCAGCCAAUCCCGAAAUCCGCUCUCAGUUCGGACUGGAGUCUGCAACCCGACUCCACGAAGCUGGAUUCGCUAGUAAUCGCGCAUCAGCCAUGGCGCGGUGAAUACGUUCCCGGGCCUUGUACACACCGCCCGUC
rnacentral:rRNA from 1 species